rnacentral:lncRNA from 1 species
CUCUUCACAUGGACACACAUGAAAUUUGGUGCCGUGACUUGGAUCGGGGGACCUCCCUUGGGAGAUCAAUCCCCUGUCCUCCUGUUCUUCGUUCCAUGAGAAAGAUCCACGUACGACCUCAGGUCCUCAGACCCACCAGCCCAAGAAACAUCUCGCCAAUUUCAAAUCUGCAUCAACAUCUCCAGUCUCAUCAUGGGAGACACUCAUCCAGAAGCAAAUCUCAGCCAACAGGAGUGGAGCCAAUGUGGGUGGCUGCAACUGCAGUAAGAUUGCCACCAUUCGGGGGCCAGCCAGGAUCUCAUGCCUACUGCUGCUUUGGUGGCUAUGAUGGACCAUUUCAACAGGUGACCACAUGGAGAAUUGAGCAACAUAUUCUUAUGGAAACAGCACCUGUACAGGGAAAGGCACAGCAUGUGGGGAAACACAGGAAACAACACAGAGGAAGAAGAAGCACUUGAGGAGACAGUAUUCCUCUGAGCUCGGUGUGCUGUGUUGUCUGCUGGGCGGCUGGCGGAGGACCAGGGCACAGAGCAGUAUUUAACUGCUCAGCUGUUGCUCUGAACAGCUGAGCUAUAAAUGCUCAUACCUCAGCCGACGAAUAAGCAACCUAAUCUGAACUUGUAUUCCAGUAAAAAUAAAAAUAUGUUGGGUUGGAAGAAA